rnacentral:rRNA from 1 species
UACGAAGGGGGCUAGCGUUGCUCGGAAUCACUGGGCGUAAAGCGCACGUAGGCGGAUUCUUAAGUCGGUCGUGAAAUGCCGGGGCUCAACCCCGGGACUGCGUCCGAUACUCUCGAGCUGGAGGCAGGUAGGGGGGAUCGGAAUUCCUGGUGUAGCGGCGAAAUGCGCAGAUAUCAGGAGGAACACCGGUGGCGAAGGCGGAUCUCUGGGCCUUGCCUGACGCUGAGGCGCGAAAGCUAGGGGAGCGAACAGG